UAUAUAUACAUACAUAUUAUGGCUGUAAAGUACAAUGAAACCGGUAGGACUGAUAUUGCAUUUAGCAAGAAUUUUGUCAUUUGGUGACAAUGUUUUUAUUACUAUUCGUUCUGCUAUUUCGAAGCUGUUAUUCUGUCAAUACUUUGUUGUUUGUCAAAAUAUUUUUAAAAAAUCUGUUAGUUUUUAUUGAAGCUGGCUGAAAAUCCAAGCCUAACCUAAAUACUGCGUCACAUAUUCGCCUGCCAUUUCUAGGAACGUGAUCAAAUUCAUGGCAGGUCAAGUGGAAAAGCGAAUGCAGAGGGAGCCGGACCGAACCCAAAUUCAUAAAGCAAGCCCAAAACCGUCUGGCCAUCCCAGGCUGACCGUAAAAACUUUCUGCUGAAGGCAAAGCAAAACAAAACUGUGGCAAAAACAUAAAACACAGCAAAGAGGCAUAAACAAACAGAGCGCAAAAGCAUAAAGCGUACAAGGCAACAGCAAAAUGUCCAACUUUUGUAAUCGAGACCCCUUGAUGGUGACAGGACCAAGGACCAAAGCUUUCCAAGCUGCAGUGGGGGAGUUGUGAAAAAAAAUAAACAAAAAUAUAAAUAUUUUACUUGUAGUUCCUCGGUGCAAACACCAACAAACUACAGCAAGCUAACGCAAACUAGCCGAAAAACAAGCAACAGCUGCCAAAUGGGAAACAAUCAAGCCCAGAGCAGAACCACUAAAAUAUCCUGUGAAAUUGCUUCCCAGACACUUUGCCCAAUCCCUGGCUCGCAGUAGUUUCGGUUGGAGACUUUUGACUCAUAGUAGACUCAUGCCAGCUCCUCUGGCAUCAUUAUUCAUUUUCGGUUGAGUAAAAUUAAUGAGCUGACCAAGCUCAAGUGGUGGCUUAUUCUCUCUCAUUUUGGAGUGCUCAAACGGAAUGAACUCGUUAGUUGACCUUAAAUGGAGCUCGAGUAACAACAAACUGGGAUUAGUUUCCCGGCAACGCAGGUCAUAAUUGAAUGAAAUGCGAACCAAGUUAUGGCCAUAACAGGAAUUUUUAUUUUUAAGAAAUCGAAAGGGUCAAGCCCCGCACUUGUUGUCAUUGAUUGGGUGCAAAUCGAUUCCUUGUCAUGGAAACUGGGUCACGAUGAGCAAACAAACAGUAAAACCCAGACAGCACAGAAAAGUUGAAACCACUUUUACCCAUUCAGUUGCGACUGUUACGAGUUCAGGCCAUUCAACCCACCAGAAGCCGACGAGCAAUUUAUGUGCCGUGUUUAAUAUUUCUGUGUAUACUAUAGCUUUCGUCUGGUCCAACUACCUUUGUUGUCGCAUCUACAAGUGAGAGUUAAAUAAGAACAACAGUGAAUAUAAAAAAGGUAGGGAAUCUACUACAAUUUAUUUGUUGUAUCUGCUUGCACAUUGGACUUCUAGGAUGUCGCAUGAUAUUGAUUAAAUGCUUUCUGAGUCCUUUACAAGCAAAUCAUCGAAUGAUCCCCUAAACGCACUUCUAUGAAUCUUGACUUGACUGAAGUCCUUCAUGUGGAGCAUGUCAAUUGCAUCAUUAAUAAUGACAAUGCGGCAGAUGGCCACUGGCCAUUUCUCUCAUAUAUCACGAAACGUGCCCAAGAAUCCUGUGUGUGUACGUCUUUGAGUAAUGGUUGGAACAUGCAGGACGAAAGUCAUAUGGUGAAGUGGAAACUGGUGUUUUACUAAAAUAAUUGUAUCACUAGCCUCUCGAUAUCGACCGUUUGGCAGUGGCCUAAGAAUAACCCUUGAAAAUGUGCACUGCAUCUGAAAAAAGAUUUUAUUACAUUUCGUGAAUGUCUUAAAAUUUAUAAAUGGUUGUCACUUUAUUUUACCAUGUCAUGUGACACUAGUAAGGGUGAGAUAAAUGCCUUGAAAAGUGGAUCUUCCCGGAUUCUUGCAAAACGCCAAGAAUGUAAAAUUGAAGUGCAGCCUGUUAAAUUCAGACGUUGAAUACUAAUAUUUUUGCCGGCCGCGAAAUGUAUGCAUACGUUUUCAAGAGUGGAAAACGAGAUUUUGUUGCGUAUACGCCACGUGGUCGUAGGGAAUACGUAAGCCACAAACUCUGCCAGCACAUGCAUGUCUUCAAUGCAGCCAAAGCCAUAAAUUUUCCUAGCCAGCAUGUCGAAAUUCUAUUUUAUUUCCACCUCAAAACGAGACAGAUGAAGUAUGUGAGAAAGAAAAACGAAUUUAUUUGGAUUAAGUCUAUAGAAAAUAAUAAAACAUGCUCGCCUUUUUUUUUCAUAUAAGUUUAAUAACGCCAGGAAACAUGUAGAGACAUCCAUAUCAACUUUAAUUGGGUUUCACCACCAAAAAGCGCAAGUCAGGAUCUGAAAAAGUGGCCAAGAUGUUGCAAGUAUUCUGUAAAUCAGUUAAGUUUCUUGCCACACCUCUGCUACAUCAUACUGGCAAAUGAUGAUGUCACGGAAUGUUUCCCCGUCUGGGUUAUGUGUUCACUUAUGCGAGUACUUGACAUUUUCCGCGUCCCCGACUAUCAGAUGCCAUUCCACGACCGACAGAUGUCUGCGAAUAUAAAAUGGCUGAAGGCGAGAAAAGUGUGAAACUGUGCACAUGGUCAUUUGGCAUGGGGAUGUCAGCAAUAUGGGAGACAUGGCAAACAACUGGAGCAUGAAUAUUGCACGGUUGAAAUUGGCAGAAAUACUUUUACAAGAUAUUGUACAAAAUAACUGAUAGCUGUGAAAAGUACUUAAUGGAAAAAUGGGACAUUUUCUCAUUAAAAUUUCGCUAACUUAA